rnacentral:rRNA from 1 species
UAGGGAAUCUUCCACAAUGGACGCAAGUCUGAUGGAGCAACGCCGCGUGAGUGAAGAAGGUUUUCGGAUCGUAAAGCUCUGUUGUUGGUGAAGAAGGAUAGAGGCAGUAACUGGUCUUUAUUUGACGGUAAUCAACCAGAAAGUCACGGCUAACUACGUGCCAGCAGCCGCGGUAAUACGUAGGUGGCAAGCGUUGUCCGGAUUUAUUGGGCGUAAAGCGAGCGCAGGCGGAAUGAUAAGUCUGAUGUGAAAGCCCACGGCUCAACCGUGGAACUGCAUCGGAAACUGUCAUUCUUGAGUGCAGAAGAGGAGAGUGGAACUCCAUGUGUAGCGGUGGAAUGCGUAGAUAUAUGGAAGAACACCAGUGGCGAAGGCGGCUCUCUGGUCUGCAACUGACGCUGAGGCUCGAAAGCAUGGGUAGCGAACAGGAUUAGAUACCCUGGUAGUCCAUGCCGUAAAACGAUGAGCGCUAGGUGUUG